CUCAUGGCAGAGAUUUGUGCUCCUUCCUAGUGGUAUGUGUUGUGGCAAGGAGGCAUGCAUCCAGCCAGGGAAAAUACGUUCUCGUCUCCUUUGUAUCCAAAUGUGACUCAUUAACUAGUUCUUAUCAAUGAACUAUGAGUGGAAGUGAUGUGUGCUACUUUUGAGCCAGGGAUUAUGAGAUGAGGAUAGAAAUUCUCUACUCCUUUUCUCCCAUCAAUCAAAAUGCCGCAAACUCUGAGAGCAUCAUAGAUGAAGCAGACUCAAGAUGAAAGCAAGUUGGCUCCCCGAAUCACCGUGUGAAUCAUACUGAGCUAUUAUGUGAAUGCUGGACAGUGCUGGACCCAUCAGAGUUUCAAUACUGGCAAGAGAAAGGCCAGUCCUAUGGGGAGCCCUCUUGGAAAAGAUGAAGCACUGGACAUUACAAACUAACUACUUUCAGCCCCUGGAUGAAUCUAGAAGCAGGUUAGUCCCGACAUCAAGGCAAUGUCAAGAGUGAAAGGGAAGAUCAAGGCUUUUUUUGAGUGAUUGUUUCCUGGAAGGUAAGUUAGAUACAGGACUUGAAGGUUGAAACAGGACUUAAUUUGUGUUGGGGAGUUUUAGAUUCAAAUGGAAGUGUAAAACAGCUGCUAAAAUCACUACAUAAUGCAAGGCAUUCAUUGAAGAAAGACUUGAGAUUGUGACCUUGAGCAGUAGCUUUGUCCAGAGUAGGCACUAAGGCCAGAUGGUACCUGUUACUAGAAAAUGGAAUCUUGUUAUUGUUCCUUUUGCUCAGAUCUAAAUGCCUGAGCCAGCACCAUUAUGCUACACAUUUACUUCUCAGUUUCCUAAACAAGGAUGACAAGUCUUAUUUUAUUAUCCUUACUCUAGCAAAAUACCCACUGUCAUCUGUAAGGACAAUAUGAUCAAGUCCUUUGACUGAAGAAUGCAUUUCCUCAGCCAUAAUGUCACUAAAUAAA
rnacentral:lncRNA from 13 species